rnacentral:rRNA from 1 species
AGUGAACGCUGGCGGUAGGCCUAACACAUGCAAGUCGAACGGCGGCACAGUAAGAGCUUGCUCUUACGGGUGGCGAGUGGCGGACGGGUGAGGAGUACAUCGGAAUCUACUUUUUCGUGGGGGAUAACGGAGGGAAACAUACGCUAAUACCGCAUACGACCUACGGGUGAAAGCAGGGGAUCUUCGGACCUUGCGCGAUUGAAUGAGCCGAUGUCGGAUUAGCUAGUUGGCGGGGUAAAGGCCCACCAAGGCGACGAUCCGUAGCUGGUCUGAGAGGAUGAUCAGCCACACUGGAACUGAGACACGGUCCAGACUCCUACGGGAGGCAGCAGUGGGGAAUAUUGGACAAUGGGCGCAAGCCUGAUCCAGCCACACCGCGUGAGUGAAGAAGGCCUUCGGGUUGUAAAGCCCUUUUGUUAGGAAAGAAAAGCAGCAGGUUAAUACCCCGCUGUUCUGACGGUACCCAAAGAAUAAGCACCGGCUAACUUCGUG